UACAGAGGGUGAAAGCGUUAAUCGGAUUUACUGGGCGUAAAGCGCGCGUAGGUGGCCAAUUAAGUCAAAUGUGAAAUCCCCGAGCUUAACUUGGGAAUUGCAUUCGAUACUGGUUGGCUAGAGUAUGGGAGAGGAUGGUAGAAUUCCAGGUGUAGCGGUGAAAUGCGUAGAGAUCUGGAGGAAUACCGAUGGCGAAGGCAGCCAUCUGGCCUAAUACUGACACUGAGGUGCGAAAGCAUGGGGAGCAAACAGG
rnacentral:rRNA from 1 species